AGGAGCCCGGGCCGAGGCAGAGCCCGGCUGCCCCAGCCCCGAGUGCGGCCGGACGGGCUCGAAGGAGCCGCCGCAGGUGAACAAUGCGAGCUGUGAGGGGCUGAACACGGCUGAGCGGUGUCCUGGCCGGAGUGAGCGUGCGGGGCUGUGAAAAGCGCCGUCAGUGCACGCUAUUAACUGAUAAAUAGCGGAUUUAGUUGGAGUUCUGGCGGCCUGGCAGGCUCUAGUCUGUCCUGACUGGAAGAUUCUGUAGUAGGGGUUCAUAGUUCAAGUGGGAAACAGGGGAAGUUGCUUGAACAAUGCAUAAAAAAUAAAUAAUAAAUCGCAUUCGCAGGUGUACCCAGCAGCCUGGCUCUCCGUGCUAACAAGCAGCCGCAGUGGGAUCAGGUGUGUCUAAAUUAGUCCCAGCAGGAGAUUCAUGUGCUAAUUAGCAGCCCAGUUAAUAGGGCAGACUGGGAGCUGUGCUUGCUGCUCCCCGGAUUUCCAAAACCUCAGGAGAAGGAACGCAGGGAUGCAGUGUGAGCAUCAGAGGCAGCCGUGCUUUAGGGGUAGCAGGGGCUGGGGUUCCCCUUGUGAAGGAACAUUUCUGCAUCCCGAGAGAAGCUGCCCAGCAUUCCAGAGGGAAGGAAGAGCUCGGAGGUGCGGUGGGAGAGGAGCUGUCCCCAGCAGGUGGCAGGAGCCGCCUUCCCUCACGCUCCGUGCCGCUGUCCAUGGUUACCCACGGCAGCCCGGGAUGCUCGGGAACAGGAGCAGGAAAGGGACGGUGUGGGGCACAGGUUGUCCCUGGACAACAAUCCCAGCCUGUCCCAGCUGGAAGUGCUGAGCCAGGCACUGCUUCUGGACCAGUUUCUCCUUGAGUUUGGGGUUUGGAGCUGUGCCUGCCCAGGAGCAGGAGGAAUUCCCUGUCCUCCUGGUGAGCAUCUUCCCCUGCAUCGCCUCAGAAUGAGGAUUUCCAGUUUGGUUAUUAAUUACAAUUCUGGCUCGAGAUGUUUCUAUGGGGCAUUCAGGUGUAGUUUUUCUAAUCACCAUCCUGGUAAUUAAUCUGCCAGCCAAGCUCCCUCAUUAGCAGCCUGCCUCGUGUUGGUCUGUCCCAUUAAACCUUCUGGAGCUUUUGAGGGCUGCUCACAAGUUUUGUGAAAGUUGUUUGUGAUAAGCUCAGGUUGUGGUCAGUUAAUAAUCUUAUUUAAACAGUGAUUGAAUGAAAAUAUUUAGUUACUAUCACCAAAAAUGAAUAUUCCCCUCAGCAUCUUUACAAGCACAAAAGAUAAAUAUUUGUUUUAUCAUUCUCUAAGAGUUACUGUAUUGAUUCCAAAUAACAGAUCCAAGCUAUUACAAUCAUUUCCCCUGUUAUUCUUUUAAAACAUCCUUGUUGUCCUUUCCCUUAUUAGUAAAGUUGUAUUUUUACUCAUCUCUGUAACUUUUCUUUUUAGUGUUUUUGCUAAGUGAUCCCUCUGAUCUCCAUUGGUUGCAAGGCUGAUUUUUUUUA